GAGCAGAAUUUACUUUCAUUGGUUCAGAAGGACACGUGCUGCAGGCGGUCCUAUUACGACUUGUGUUAUCAAAGAAUAAAAAAGCCAGUCGCACAAAGGCAUCGAAUAUCUGAAGGCUCCAACUAACUCUAAGUUCCAAGUUAGUUCCAUUAAUUGAAAAAUAAGGAGCUCAGGCAUAUAAACCUGGUGGACAUUUUCUAGAUAUUUCUAGUUAGUUUAAAACAGAAUCAUCUAGAACGUUAACAGACCGAGAACGUGAAGAUGGCCAAAUUGUGUCCGAUUUUCAUUUGGAGCCUAAAAUGGACAAUGUUGGCUUUGGUAAUGACGAUGACAGUUGCGAACCCAUCUGGCUAUGAUGAAACCCAAUUGGUCUUGGAAUCAUUCAGUCAACUUCUUCAGCAACUUUUCCCUAUGAUUCCAACCAAAACGCAAUACGUUUGGAAGAUCACACAUCAGGAUCUUCCUUUGAAAAACACCAACACCUACUAUAAUAAGCUGGAUAAUGACGAUCCCGUUCUCUCCAAUGAAGUUCGACCUUGGAGUCUUGAGUCAGACUUUCGGAAGCGUGGUCCAGACUGUAUGAGAAAAUGCAUCGCUCAAGGCAUUCUUCACCCUGUCCAGUGUCACUCAUUGUGUUAAUGGAAGUGGCCUAAAUGUUGUCUCGCUCACGUCAUGUGAAAAAGGAAAUCUGUCAAUUCAGUGUCCCCUCGUUCCCAGUACCAUUGGAGAAAAUUUUACGUAAUUUCACGUUUUGUUUACAUUAAGGAACAUGUGGUAUAAGAAACGAAAUGAUUGUGCAUUCAAAACACGCUUUCAUAGAUUGGGUCUGACUUACUUAUAUAUAUGCGUAUAAAAUAAAAUACAGAAAUGAUAUUUGGAGUAAAGCAUUUUACAACUCACUAGACCAGAUGCACGUAUGUUUCUGAAGUAAUGGACUCGUAUUAGUUUUCUAAUGUAUUUGGAUUAUUUCAAUUCAACAAAAUUUGCCUAAGCCUAUAAUUAAUAGUUGUAUUGCCAAUAUAAAUAUAUAGAGUUAGAAUAUAUGUGUUUGGAGAAAAUUUAAGUAUGUUGUAUAUUUAUUUAUUUCAUUUCGACAAGUAUGUUACUAUGUGGACUACAAUGAAUA